rnacentral:rRNA from 1 species
GACGAACGCUGGCGGCGUGCUUAAUACAUGCAAGUCAACUGAACUUUAGGUAGCAAUAUUUAAAGGGAGGUGGCGCACGGGUGAGUAACACGUAGGUAAUCUGCCUUCAGGACUGACAUAAUUCCGCGAAAGCGGGACUAAAAUCAGAUGAUGCAGCGGCUCGACAUCGAGACAGUUGUUAAACCUUCGGGGCCUGAAGAUGAGCCUGCGUCUGAUUAGGUAGUUGGCGGGGUAAAAGCCCACCAAGCCUGCGAUCAGUAGCUGGUCUGAGAGGAUGAUCAGCCACACUGGAACUGAGACACGGUCCAGACUCCUACGGGAGGCAGCAGUAAGGAAUAUUGCUCAAUGGCCAAAGGCUGAAGCAGCAACGCCGCGUGGAGGAUGAAAUACUUUAGUAU